UACGAAGGGGGCUAGCGUUGCUCGGAAUCACUGGGCGUAAAGCGCACGUAGGCGGCUUGUUAAGUCAGGGGUGAAAUCCUGGAGCUCAACUCCAGAACUGCCUUUGAUACUGGCGAGCUUGAGUCCGGGAGAGGUGAGUGGAACUGCGAGUGUAGAGGUGAAAUUCGUAGAUAUUAGGAAGAACACCAGUGGCGAAGGCGGCUCACUGGCCCGGUACUGACGCUGAGGCGCGAAAGCGUGGGGAGCAAACAGG
rnacentral:rRNA from 1 species